rnacentral:rRNA from 1 species
GUGAACGCUGGCGGUAGGCCUAACACAUGCAAGUCGAACGGCAGCACAGUAAGAGCUUGCUCUUACGGGUGGCGAGUGGCGGACGGGUGAGGAAUACAUCGGAAUCUACUUUUUCGUGGGGGAUAACGUAGGGAAACUUACGCUAAUACCGCAUACGACCUACGGGUGAAAGCAGGGGAUCUUCGGACCUUGCGCGAUUGAAUGAGCCGAUGUCGGAUUAGCUAGUUGGCGGGGUAAAGGCCCACCAAGGCGACGAUCCGUAGCUGGUCUGAGAGGAUGAUCAGCCACACUGGAACUGAGACACGGUCCAGACUCCUACGGGAGGCAGCAGUGGGGAAUAUUGGACAAUGGGCGCAAGCCUGAUCCAGCCAUGCCGCGUGGGUGAAGAAGGCCUUCGGGUUGUAAAGCCCUUUUGUUGGGAAAGAAAAGCAGCAGGUUAAUACCCCGCUGUUCUGACGGUACCCAAAGAAUAAGCACCGGCUAACUUCGU